UCCCUUACCCUUCACGACUUGAAUGACUCCGCCCCCACAUUUCUGACCCCGCCCUCUAACUGGAGAGCGGGCCGCAGCGAGUUCCGGCUGUUGGCCCUACGAACCGGAAGUGUGGCGUUGCCAUGGCGAGAGCCGAGCGCCGGGCCCGCCCCUUCGGUGGCGGUGGCAGCUUCGGCGCGGACAGACUGACGGACAGACCGCAUGAAUUGAGGUCAGGUUAGGCGAGGGCGCGGUAUGUUAGGGUGACCUGGGGAAGAGGCUUGAGCAGGAGAGGCCAUAAGGACCCAAAGCGGAAGUAGGGUCCGGAGGAGGGGAGUUGAGAUCCUUGGGAGCCACCUGCCUGUCUGUCUGCCUGAGUGGAGUGGCAGGGCAGCCAUACUUCACUGGGGAAGAGCUAAGAUACUGGCCUAGCACUGAAUUGUGUGUCUACCUAUCCACCUGCUCACCUACCGUCGUCUGCAUUUGGACUGAAGAGGCCCACUCCUCUGCCGAGAAGGAGCCAAAGAAACUUGGGCAAAUCAGUAUACCACAAAGAAGAGAGCCAGGUGGCCAGCCUAACUCCAGCAAGGCUUUUGUGAGCAGGCACCUGUUGCAAGACUUGGGUAGGAGAGAAUUGGAAAGAGGAAGCUGCUAGAGCCUUGCCCAGAAAGACCCCAUCAGCAUACUGUCUUGACAGUCUCCUUCUCUUCCUUCAUUGAUAACUGAUCUCCUGUCCCCUCCCUUUGGGGAGGGGCUGCCCCACUGGGGCUUCAUGUGUUUAUGAUGGUAAUGGAAGCUAUAAACUGAUACUGGAAAGUUCAACAUUCUGACUAAGUCAGGAAGGAGGAAAAAGGAAAAGGAGUGGAAGAUUGGAGAGGUUUGAUGAUGAGGAGCUCUCUGGUUGUACCUGUUGAUUCUUUUACUUGAAAGGAGGUCUGGGGUGCUGCCAGGACCCUCAGAGGGACCAUCACUUAUUGGUGAUUGUUUUCCUUUCUCUUGCUCUUCAGUUGCCUGGGAAGUUGGAGUCUUCUUAUCAGGGUAAUUAGCAACAGACCCUGGACUGAGACUGGCCUCUGUCUCAGUGACUGCUUCCCUGCUGAGUGGAUCCUGCCUGCUGUGUGCCACACGUACAAGCUGUGCACCCUGACCCUGUGGGGGGAGGCGACUGUGAGAAGGAACAAGAAGCAGGGGCAGGCAUAGAUCUUCCCCUUUGCCUUGGGCACUGAACCUAAUUGCAUAGUCUCUGGACUGUUCCUUGACACUGAGGUCUAAGGCUUCAGGAACCAGGGCAGGGGAAUUUUGGUGGCAUGUGGAAUAGAUAGUGACCAGUUCCCAGGCUAGGAUUGAGUCACUAGGAUAUACUGCUGCCUAGACCCCAGUCUUCUCCAUAGACUUGUUUAGGUACCACUAGUGAGAGCCAGACUUAAGGCUAUGGGGCAAUUUCUUGCCUUUGGGGACAAAGGUUUGGACUACUGAAUAGUUAACUAAUCGACAGCUGCAACAACCCCAAAGGAG
rnacentral:lncRNA from 1 species